GUAAAGGAUUUGGAUUAUUACACAACAUAUUGAAUACAAUACAAUAUUCUCUACUCUUUGCUUAAACAGUUGUUCUACUCACUUAUUGUUAUUUCUUUCAUUGUUCAUUUAUUGUUCUUCAUUUAUUGCUCAUUAUUAAUCGCAAAAGGCCAUUUUUGAGGCCUUCAUCAUCAUUUAUUCUUCAUCAAUUGUUCAUUUCUAUUAACCCCGUCUAGACCUUGAGGCCCUGCUUUAACCAGUUCGAGGUCCAUCCUUGUGACCCCAUUGGUUUGCAUUUCUUAUUUUCUUUACUUACGCUUAGCAUCUAUUGCCUUACAACUAGUAUUAAAAUAAAUUACAGACUUUUAGAACUGCAAAAUCUAAUAUAAUUGUAGUUAUCAUUUUCAAGGUAAAUAGAAUGCCUCAGGCAAAAGAAAGAUAAGGAUCAUCUAGCAAAGCAAAUCUUUGCAAAAGGAAUACCAUUCAAUGUCUCCUUCUUCAUGUGGAAACUUUUCAAAAAAAAAACUACCAAUGGAUUACACUAUAUUGAGGUUUGGCUUUCAAUCAACUUCCAUAUGUUCAUGCUGCAGAGUACCUAAACCUGAAACUGUGGACCAUGUGUUCGCUACCAGUGAGUUGGCUACAAAGUUGUGGACACAUAUGGCUAGACCAUUGGGAAUAUUGCAUAAUGGGAUUUUAGUGCAGGAAAUUUUAAAUUUUUGGUGGAAUACUCAACCUAGAAACCAAGUUCAUAAACUCGUCCUUCAUAUAACACCCUAUUACAUUCUAUUGGAGCUUUGGAAAGCAAGAUUUAACAGAAAAUCCAGCCUAAAGAACACUACUAUGUAUAGAAUUGCUAAUCAAGUUCUUUUUAGUGUGCAAGUUACCAUAGCUAAAAGGUUAGGCAAGAUGGAAGCCAACUGAAGAUGGGAAACUAUCUGUCUAGUUGUGGAAAGAUAUAAGACUAGGAUCACUGGCAGCUUGGUGUACUGAGAUAAACCUCAGGGAGAUACAUGGAAACUUAAUACAUAUGGUAACUUCAUACGACGAUUGAUACUGGAAGGAAUAUGGGGGAACGUUAGGAAGGGAAAUGGAAACAUGAUUAUGGUAUUCGCCAAAAUUAUUCAACUCACACCUAACAAUCUUUGUUAACUGCAGGCUGCUAGUUAUGGAAUUAACUGAUGUUAUGAUCAACAACACACACAUCUUGUAUUAGAUAUGGACUCCCUGGUGGUGGUCAACAUGCUAAAAGGACAUGUCAUAUCUCCAUGAAGAUUGAGAAGGCAGUUAAGGAAGGUCAAAAGAAAAUUCAAGAGAGGCAAAUUGAAAUCAAGCAUCACUAUAAAGAAGCCAAUGCAAUCGCUGAUGCAUUAGCCAAGGAGGCAACUAUAAUGGAUGGUGAAAAAUUAUACCUCAGGGAAGACGAAUUACCAGGGAAUGCUAGAUGUCUUAUGAGGAUGGACAAGCUACACUUGACUUUUGUGGAGGUUUUGCUUACAUGUGCCCCUCCUGUAUUACGAUAAUGUUAUAACAAAUAGGGUAGGGGUCCAAGUCAAAACCCCACCAACACAAGAGCUAUAAACGUGGUUGGUUGGAUUCAAUGAAAAAAAUGGAAGGUAAGACUUGAUAGGAAAAAAAUAAAGAAGCUCAGGUCCUUCCAAAUAACACGAAUAUACAUUUAAUUUUACAUUUGUCAUACUUUGACCUUAUGGUGGGUAACUGCCACUUAUCUAGUAAGAAGACACUUUUAACAGUUCUAGGGAGAUGUUGGAAACUCUAAAAUGUAAGUCUGAUUAGAAGUAGAAGCAAGUUUAGCCAGGCAAUCAGCCACCUAAUUACCUUCCCUGAAACAGUGAUACACUCCGACUUUUGCCUCAUUUAUGAUGCUGAUGAUGUUGCCUGCAAUCUGUUUGAUCAUCAUAUUGUUGGUCAGCAUAUUUGCAAUAAUCAGGGAGUCGAAUUCAAGAACAAAAUUAGUAUACCCAUGUUGACUUCACCAUUUAACUCCAAACUCAUCAGCAAGAGCUUCUGUCAUGUUGUUGUUACUCUGUAUGGGCACUGAAGAGGCAAUGAUUAAGUUGCCAUUCUUGUCCCUCAUAGUGCCCCAUGGAGAUUGAGAAAGGCAAUAGAGGAAGCUCAAAAGAAAAUUCAAGAGAGGCAAAUUGAAAUCAAGUAUUGCUAUAGGAAAGCCAACGUAAUCGCUGAUGUAAUAGCAAAGGAAGCAGCUACAAUGGAUGGUGAAAAAUUAUACCUUAGGGAAGACGAAUUACCAGAGAAUGCUAGAGGUCCUAUGAGGAUGGACAAACUACACUUGGCCUCCUUUAGGUAUAAACAACGCAAACAUUCUAGUGGCAUUAUGAACCUCCUUGGUAUAUCAAUUAGGGAAGGAUCCCUCAUAAAUAAGAACCAUUUUGUCCCUCAUUCAGUUACUUUUAUUUUACCAGUUGUGUGUUAGAAUUACAAGCAAGUUAGCCAGGCAAUCAGCCACCUAAUUGUGGGAACUAUUCAAAAAAAAAAAAAAAAAAAAAAAAAAAAAAAAAAAAAAAAAAAA
rnacentral:lncRNA from 1 species